rnacentral:tRNA from 1 species
GGAAGCGUCGUCCAGCGGUCAGGACCCCCGGCUCAUAACCGGGUCGACCUCGGUUCGAAUCCGAGCGCUUCCA